AUCUCGAGCUGAUUUGCAAGGAUAAACCGGAGCUGGGAGAGCAGCACUGACUCAGCUCAGCAUUCCUGGGCUCCUCGAGGGCUGCUCCAGGCAGGCAUCUUCAGGAAAGCCGCUCUGAAUUGACUUCCAAAUGAGAGUAAUUAAAGCAAACGAGGCCUUUGCAGGGAAGAGCUGCUGGCUGGAUGCUGCACUUGGCUCAAGCGAGUCACCUAUUUUCGCACGGCUUGUGGGCGCUCCGUGUCAUCG